AGAACCCUGCUGUGUGCGUGAUAAAGGUGAUGUUUUGAACCAACAUCAACAAUAAGGGAGUCUGGGCUCUGGCUGUGGCAUAUAGGCCCCCCAUUAUGGCCAGGGGAAAUAUAAAGCAGUCAGGAGGACACCCACCUGCGAGGGCAGGUUUAAAAUACACCUGGAGCACGGCUCGGUGGGGUAAAA
rnacentral:other from 1 species